ensembl:lncRNA
UGAAUGAUGACUUUAGUGAUGCAAUUUGUAAUGUGUCUUAUAUGAAAAGACUACAUAUUAUCUGUAUGUGAUUUUGAAUUCAUGGAUUUUGCUAUGAACAGUGGUAAUGGUGACUUUAAACAGUUCAGCAUUCAGAUCAGCCACAUCUGGAUGCUGAAUUGUGAAUUUAUUCUACAAAUUUCCAAUGAAAAAUUCUGUGGGAUGGUAAUUUUAUCAUGUUCCAAAGUUAUUACAAAUGUUCAAUGUGUGCGGCGCUUGUGACACGACACACAUCAAGUCGGUAGUGGAGUUCCUGCUACACUUGAUGCAGCAUGUCGUGUCUAACAUUCUCCAGAGCCUCAGUGAUUCUGUUCUUGAGUUCCUCUACACAGCAGAUUCUCGUUAAGAUAAGCUUGCACCCUGAGUUUCCAGUCUUUAAACAAAUGAUUUGGUGAUGGAAUGAUGUCACAUUGUAUUUCUGUGAACAUGUUAUAGGUUAGGAACAUCAGAGACAAUACUUCACAACAUGCACUGUAAGGCUGUGAUGUUUGGUCCAUAACACAAGGUUCAGGACGCUAUAAGCCUGCAAGGCUGGACAGAGAUAUCUUCACUGCAUUAACGCACUUGACUUUUCCAUUUAAUCGUUUAUGCGUUUAGUUGGAAUGUAACUGAUCUUGCUUAUCCAACACAUUCUGUAGAUAUAACAGUUUAGAGGCACCACACUUUCUGCUAUAGGGGAAAACACUCUGGCUAAGAGAAAGAUGCAACUUUCAUGUUUCCUCAAAAUAAUGACAGGUAGAAUUGCUAUGGUGGAACAUUUGUGUGAAGGGAGGCAAGAACUAUGAUUAAAAUGGCUAAUUCACUGAAAACACAACUAGGAAGACUGCAUUCUUCCAAAUCCAGACCCAGAUCCUCAGAAAAAGUUGAAAUUCUGAGUGUGGUAGGAGACAGGAGCAGCCAGCAGCAGCCUUAUACCUGCAUCCUGUAUUCAAUGAGUUCCAUACAGAACAUUCACUCUUGUUACAAUCCAUUAAUGAUUGGAUUGGAUGUUUUGUUGUAAAAGGAUGCAGUGGUGCUUAGUGGCAGCUUAGGAAAAUCCAACAUCUGCUGCAAAUGUCUGCCAUCCCUCAUGUUGGUUGCCUUGUCCUAGGAAAAUAAUGUUGAAGUCAUUUUUGUUAAUUAGUUAGAUAUUUUAAAUCAUCAUGGGCCAUAGAAAAAAAGUGAUCAACUUUUGGUGUGAGUUGCACCACUAUGUGGCCGUAUACUGCACACAAUGAAGCAGUGGUAUUUGCACUUCUGCUAUAUAACCCCUGCAAGCUAAAAAGUCUGGUGGUAAUGACUUUCAGUACCAGCUCAAAUCUGUCCUAAAUUUCAAACACAGUUAAGCUUCUUUCAAUUAUUGCAUAAUAUUCUUUCAUGCCUGGCUGUUUUGGAGGUUUAUGGUUUGAACAUAAUCAAGCUGCCACAACAGUUGAAUAGGAUCAACAUAUAAAUGGAUGUGAAGUUGUGAAUUCAUCUUUGCCUUGAUGUUUUGUUAUAUUCAAUAAUUAAUCAGAUGCCACCCAAAUUGUCCACUAUGAUAUGUUUUUGAUUAAACUAGCAUAAUUGGAUUGAAUUUUGAAAUGAAUUCAAUUCAAUUUUAUUUAGUUUAAUGCAGUUUAUUUAUUUUUAUCCCCUGAAUGUGGGGGUGUGAAGCAUUCCCAGCAAUACACAGAGCUGGGUCAGUUUGUCUUUACCACUGAGGUAACAGAGGAGUGGAGUUACCAGUAUGGAUUUACAGCGUGGAAAAGUAAGAGAACUGUGGCUUCACCUAAACUACAGCAAUGAACACAUUCUUUUCAAUGUGGC